rnacentral:tRNA from 1 species
GACUUCGUGGUGUAGUGGUCAGUACGCUCAACGCAUAACUGAGAGGUUCAGGGUUCGAUUCCCGGCGAAGGCG